rnacentral:rRNA from 1 species
GGACGGAGAAGGCUAUGUUGGCCGGGCGACGGUUGUCCCGGUUUAAGCGUGUAGGCUGGUUUUCCAGGCAAAUCCGGAAAAUCAAGGCUGAGGCGUGAUGACGAGGCACUACGGUGCUGAAGCAACAAAUGCCCUGCUUCCAGGAAAAGCCUCUAAGCAUCAGGUAACAUCAAAUCGUACCCCAAACCGACACAGGUGGUCAGGUAGAGAAUACCAAGGCGCUUGAGAGAACUCGGGUGAAGGAACUAGGCAAAAUGGUGCCGUAACUUCGGGAGAAGG